GCCCUAGGCUGACGCUCACAUGACUCGUGUGUAGGGGGUAGCCCUUGCAGGUGGGGUUUUGACCCCCAGCCCCUGCUCACCCAGGGCUCCAGACAGCUCCACACGCCUGCGCGUUGUUUCUUCUUUGAGUCCCAGCUGUUACCUCGCUGCGAGGUCCUGAGCACCCGACUCUCCCGCUGGCGUAAGGGGAGGCCCCUGGGAGUCUGAGUGGGCUGGGCCCCCGCGAGCCCCCAGGGGCCCAAAACCAGAGUAGCCACAGUAGGGCAGCUGGGUGGAGGGUCUGGGCGCCCAAAAGCAGUGCUGGGCAGAGGGCAGGUGGAGGUGGGGCUGUCCCCUCUAAUGCCACCGCAAGGUUCUGGUCGGACCCCGAGGGGGAAAUGAAUGGGGUAGAUGGUCCCAGUCCUCCCCGCCCCGCUGCCCUCCCUGGGGGCAGUGUGGGGAACAGGCCACCUCAUGGCGCAGUGAGCCUGUAGCCCCGCCCGAGGAAGGCAGCUUGGGCUUGGGGGCCAGGCCCAGCUCCCCGCAGGUGUGCCCACAUGCCCUGAGCUGUGUACACAGAGUGUGGCAAGUCCAGGAGAGCUCUGGGGCCUGGCUGGCCCGGGGCUCUGGUGGACGCUGGACUCGUGGCUAGUGCAGGGCCCUGCUCGCCAGAAAAGGGCCUUGACUUGUGUCUAGCAUGUGCCAGACCCUCUGCUCGUGGGGGGUCCCAGACUGAGUUAGAGCUUGCUGACACAAGUUUCCAGAAUUGGGGGAAUGUUGUGCUGAAUAUUUACUUUUUAAAAGACACACACACAAAAAAGCGUAUUUCUCAGGCUGUAAAAGUCAGUCUUCACAGCUAUUCCUGGUGCGUAGGAGAGUGAGCUUUCUCAAUGUUUUCUCGACGUUUUCUUAAAGGAAACCUCUCACUGGUUCUCUCAGGUGUGGCACUUGGCUGCUGGGAACAGACACAGUUUAUCUUACAGAGAACACUGUUUUGCAAGAGGUUUCCCACAAUUAUGGUCUGAGGGAGGGUCCCUGCCAGCUUGUCUUAGUCACUUGAGCUUAAGGGAAAGUUGGGUGGUUUUUUUUUUUUUUGNNNUAUUCUUUCUUUCUUUUUUUUUUUUUUUUAAAUCUGAAAGCAAGAGCCGUCUGGGAGCAGGCACACGUGGGUACUCACCCCCAGUCAGGGAAACAGAAGGGCUGCUGACUGGCGUUCCUGUGCCCCCGAAGGUGGCUGCCGGCUUUGGGUGGAAUGUCACAAAGCACUCAGACUGGGGGAUGCACGUGGAGUGAGCUGGAGGCCACGAGAGGACAGACCACGCCAGGCUCUGUGGAAUGGAAUCCUGAAUCCAGCGGCGCUCUGGGCGCUGGAGAACACAGUCCCUUUAAACCA
rnacentral:lncRNA from 1 species